UACGUAGGGGGCAAGCGUUGUUCGGAAUUACUGGGCGUAAAGGGCGCGUAGGCGGCAUGGCAAGUCGGGAGUGAAAGCCCGGGGCUCAACCCCGGAGGGUCUCUCGAAACUGCCAAGCUAGAGUGCGGAAGAGGCAACUGGAAUUCCCAGUGUAGCGGUGAAAUGCGUAGAUAUUGGGAAGAACACCGGAGGCGAAGGCGGGUUGCUGGGCCGACACUGACGCUGAGGCGCGAAAGCCAGGGGAGCAAAC
rnacentral:rRNA from 1 species